GAUGAACGCUGGCGGCGUGCCUAAUACAUGCAAGUCGAGCGAACAGACGAGGAGCUUGCUCCUCUGACGUUAGCGGCGGACGGGUGAGUAACACGUGGAUAACCUACCUAUAAGACUGGGAUAACUUCGGGAAACCGGAGCUAAUACCGGAUAAUAUAUUGAACCGCAUGGUUCAAUAGUGAAAGACGGUUUUGCUGUCACUUAUAGAUGGAUCCGCGCCGCAUUAGCUAGUUGGUAAGGUAACGGCUUACCAAGGCGACGAUGCGUAGUUGACCUGAGAGGGUGAUCGGCCACACUGGAACUGAGACACGGUCCAGACUCCUACGGGAGGCAGCAGUAGGGAAUCUUCCGCAAUGGGCGAAAGCCUGACGGAGCAACGCCGCGUGAGUGAUGAAGGUCUUCGGAUCGUAAAACUCUGUUAUUAGGGAAGAACAAAUGUGUAAGUAACUAUGCACGUCUUGACGGUACCUAAUCAGAAAGCCACGGCUAACUACGUG
rnacentral:rRNA from 1 species